GCCUCGGUAGUGUAAUCAGCACGGCAGACUGGAUAUCUGUAAAUGCUGGUUCGAGUCCCGCCUAAGCUU
rnacentral:tRNA from 1 species